AAAAAGAAAAGAAAAAAUUCAGGAUAUCCUUUAUCCAGGUGCUUGGAUAAAAGUUUAUUGAGUUCAGGCCGGGCGCGUGAGCCACCGGGCCAGGUCAGUUACUCCUUAAGUAUGCAAAAGCACUCAACAAAAAAACACCUCAGGGGAUCAUGCCUGCUGGGUGGUCUUUAAAGGAAAUGGGCUACUUUCCUAUACUGGAAAAAAACACCUGACAGAAAAAAAGACGCUCUAGAGUAGCUGAAAAUAAAAUGCCUGGCUAAUGCAGAACCUGAUGAAGAAAUAGGAUGAAGUGUAACAUUCUACUGAGGUCAUGAUAUCCCAGCAUAAGGCAGAGUUUUAAAUCUUGUUUCUCAACAGGGGGAGGAGUGGGGGCCAAGGAAGGAGCAUCGGAAUCACUAGAGACAUUUAAAAUACAGUCGGCCCUCCUUAUCCAUGGGUUCUGCAUCCAUGGAUUCAAC
rnacentral:lncRNA from 10 species